rnacentral:rRNA from 1 species
AUUCCAGCUCCAAUAGCGUAUAUUAAAGUUGUUGCAGUUAAAAAGCUCGUAGUUGGAUUUCUGGCGGGAGUCCGGGUCGGCCUUAACGGGUUGCACUGUUGUGACGUCUCGCCGUUUCGAGGGGAAUGGGCUCGCUAUUAGGUUAGUGUGUUCGGGAACCUCGUCGUUUACUGUGAAAAAAUUAGAGUGUUCAAAGCAGGCCUUUGCUGUGAAUACAUUAGCAUGGAAUAAUAAGAUAGGACUGUAGUGCUAUUUUGUUGGUUUGCGUACUAUGGUAAUGAUUAAUAGGGUUAGUUGGGGGUAUUCAUAUUCAAUUGUCAGAGGUGAAAUUCUUGGAUUUAUGGAAGAUGAACUACUGCGAAAGCAUUUACCAAGGAUGUUUUCAUCA